CCAUGAUUUUUGUUCCUUGUGGGAGGAGGCACUAGAGAGGGCUGCUGCUACUGCUGCAGCAGGAGGCGCAUCUGGGACGUGCAGAUGUGAGGAAGACGGUGGAGGGCGAGGUGCAGUAAGUGGGCAGUUAAUGCAUAGUGCCACGUCUGCUUGUGUGUUUUACCUCCAGUUGUAGGAGGGAGAAGCAUAGGUUUCAACUCGUUUGGGGAUUUGUAGUGGUGGGGUAGCAGCAGCAACAUCAGCAUGGGGUUACUGUCGUUCAUGGGCCGUACCACUUUCUCGGCCAUCUUCGUUUUGCCUUCAUGGCAGCAGUGAGUGCCACGACUCCUGUCAUAAUCCAUAAAGAAAUAGGGAGUGAUAUGCCUCGUGAGACUCACCUAAUCGAUACAGGAGGUGGAAGUUUUGUUUGAGGGUUUCCAGGGCGAAACUUGAAUUGGCUUAAUGUGCAGCUAAUUAUACAUUGGUUGUGUCCUGCCUUUCUUCAGAAUCCAGGAUUUCGGUCAGGAUGGGGGUGCAGCUUUGAAGGCACUAGACACUAAGUUUCCGUUGUUUCUGAACAACGUCAACAAUGCUCACAACUUGCACUUGGCCCUCCCAAAUGGCAUUCAAAGCAGCUUUGAUCAUAUUCGCCAACGUACCUGCAGUUUCGCUUUUUAUCUAUGGUUAUCGGCAUUUAGGGGUUGCGAUCCUAGGUCCAUAAUUUCAUAUCAUGCAUUUGUACUACAAUGCAUGUUGGGUGUGUAAUUCGUGUCUCAUUGCGCUAUGAAUGUGGGAUGGCAAGUGAAGUGUGCAAUUUUAUACUCUAAUAUAUACUGAAUACGUCAUUGCUGCAGACUAAUACUUGUUUGAUGGUUGCCAUUUAAUUGGAGGCUCUGGGUGGUCUUCUUUUCAUCUUAGACAGUAACCUCGGUGCGUAUUUACUGCUUGUCUUCCUUGCGUUAGUGACACCGAUUAUGCAUGACUUUUACAACUAUGAUAUUGCAACAGGUGAUUACUUACACCAGUUCAACUCAUUCUUGAAGGUAUGUGCUUUAUAGACCCUUCCUUUCCCUAGAUCCAGUCCUAACAGACAAUUUUGCGCUCAGUUUUGUGGAUACAUGAAAUAUGAUGACCAGAAAACAAGAUUCUAUAGUAAGAAGUAACGGGAUGGUCUUUGUGACAGUCGUGAAAAAAUUAUGGAAGCUUGUGUUUGUGCACUCAAUAGUAAUGAGUCAGUUGAAGAAUGCGUCCCACUUAAUUGGCAGGUCCUUCAUUCACAGAGAGUGAUUUUGCAUAAGAUAUGGUUCCAUUUUAUGGCCUUCUAUUGUGUUUUUUAAAAAUCCGUCGAAAGAAUUAUUCUCUUAGACAUAUCAAUGAGAUUUUUUUGCAGAACUUUUCUCUUUUCGGGGCUGUCCUGUUCUAUUUGGGUAUGAAGAACUCUGUUUUUUAAUCUGUAUUGUAUAGAUUUCUUAUGCUUCAUAUGGUUGUGCAACUAGCACUUUUGAAUCGGAUUCCCCCAUUUUUCUGUAAUGGUCAUUGUAUCGCCCCGAAAUAAUGUUGGAGUUGUCAUGCUUAUUAAUUGCUUGAUCAAUGUUUGUUUAUGUAGUUCCUGAUGAUGCUCUAGCUAGAAUGACUAGAGACAAGGGAAACGAAGUUGUUCUUGUAUAGUUUUUUCACUCGCUAAAUAUCGUGUGGGAAAAAUGUUCAGUAGUGUUCAGCCUUUCAACACCUGAAUUGCUAUGUCAUUCUGUUUGUCAUUCUAUUUUAUAUAUUGACUACUUAUCAUCACUCGUGCAAAGGUAUUUGUGUCAUCCUGUCAAUUUAUUUGCUGCUGCCACCUUAUGGCCGAGUGGAUCACUUUGUGGGGACCUCAUGACUUUAUCGUACAUGCAAUAUGCGAAGAUGAUGUUCUUAUUAUUCUAGAUGAGCUGGUCACCUCAGGACUCUUGUACGUGAUUUAUACGUGUUUAGCUUGGCUGAUUUUCUACUGCAUGUCGGUCCUCCUUUAUUGUUUUUAUCAAUAUAAGAGGAGUGCGUUGUUAA